GCCUGUGGCCUCUGCCGGAACUCCAGGUUGUUACUGUCAGAAUGCGGUGAGGUGCGGGACCCCAGCUGGUGUUGGAGAGCGGUUGUGUUGGAAGGUAAUAGGUGGCAGGAUGCCCCCAUAGCUGGAAGAAGCUGGAAGAAUUUGGAAGAAGCUUCCUCUGCAUAGAUGACCAGGGGGCUGCAAAAAUCUUUAAAAUGGUCGAGCUGGGCCAGGAAGACUUGGUGGGAAGUAAUGUGGGCAGUGCCCAAGAUAAGAGGGCUGAAGAGGGGGUCUUAGGAAGAGCUCCCUCCCACCCACCAGCAAUGAGUCCUCAGACUGGGAGAAAGGAGGGUGCACACAGCAUUGGAGAGAGCCUGUGUGAACACAGGGGGAAGCUCUCCUUUCCAACCCGAACAAACUGAUGAGGGAGUGGAUGGGAACGCUCGUGACUCUUGCAUUCUGCGUGGAAAAGAAUGUCUGUGUUGCUUUGGAGCAUUGAGUUGGGAGCGCUCAGCUUUUCAUGCAGUGACUUGGCAUUUCGGAUGACUUGACUCAAGGCUGGCAGUCUUUACACACGAGUCUUCCU